rnacentral:misc_RNA from 1 species
UUGAUUGAAGUGCUUCAUUUGCACUUUAGUUGGCAAAUGAAUUCUAGAGUUGGCAAGAUGAUUCAAGGCUGGGUAUUAAUGCAAUUCUGCUUCUAAGUGGAAGUGCAGUUCAUAUUACUAUACUGCAAAGUUGAUAUCAACAGAUUAGGUCAUAAGAAUGCUUGUGUUUUCCCUAUGUACGGGCUCAAGUUCUUACAACAUUUUGUUAUGGAUGAUAUUGACAUAAUAUUUCUUCCAUUGCCCUGUGCAUCUGAAUUGUGUAGUCUAUAUAGGCAUAGUUAAUAUAUAAAACCCCUAGUCUUACAUGGUUGAGAAGUUGGGUUAAUAUAUAUACCUACAGUCCCACAUCAAAAAGUUACAGGGAGGGUCACAACCUGCUCUUUGCGAGCUACAUCAGCAUUGAACAACUACUAAUCAGAAAUAUCUGCUAAUGCUGAUAGUUUAUUAUUUUCCAUUUACCUGAUUUCACUUAACUGCAAUUCACCUACUUUUUCACUUCUGUUUUCAUCAUUAGUAGAUAAAAAAAUGAUAAAUAGGAGGUUAUCAUCUUUUUUUGGUUUCAUAUUGUUGACAAUCCACAAGCACUUUUUCUUUAGUGCUAUGGUGCUUGAUUCAAAUCUUGUUUUCCAUUUUCAUUUCUACCAAUUUAGAAAGACUCUAAUAGAUAUUUGUAUAUGGAUCUGAUGUUGUUGUCCUGCACCAGGCCUGUCAAUGUUGUCUGCUGGAAGAGAGCUAUAUGUUUGGAAUUCAUGGAGAAGGUUGGACUAAUGUGGAGUAUAGUUUCUAGGUUUAUCAUUGCAGCCUAUGCAGUUGUUCACUUUCUCAUGGCAAUUUUGUUUCACCGUGAGAAACCUGAUGACACAACAAAUUGCAUUUUUAGUGCACUGAAGAAUAAUAACAUAGCUUAUGGAAAAACAAACUAGUACAUAACAUUUUAGCUUCCCUGAUCACUAAAUGGUUAUUGGAACAUUGCCCUUUUCUAGGCCUUUUUUUUCCACAUAUACACUCAUGUUUUGAAAUGCAUAUGAAAGUAACCCUUUUUUUGCUGAGUUAUUGUCAUUCUCCUUGUCCAGGCUGAUGUACUAGAAUAUUAU